GCGUCGGUCGUUCAGUGGUAGAAUACUCGCCUCCCACGCGGGUGGCCCGGGUUGGAUUCCCGGCCGACGCA
rnacentral:tRNA from 1 species